GGUAAUACGUAGGUGSCAAGCGUUGUCCGGAAUUAUUGGGCGUAAAGCGCGCGCAGGCGGAUUGGUCAGUCUGUCUUAAAAGUUCGGGGCUUAACCCCGUGAUGGGAUGGAAACUGCCAAUCUAGAGUAUCGGAGAGGAAAGUGGAAUUCCUAGUGUAGCGGUGAAAUGCGUAGAUAUUAGGAAGAACACCAGUGGCGAAGGCGACUUUCUGGACGAAAACUGACGCUGAGGCGCGAAAGCCAGGGGAGCGAACGGGAUUAGAUACCCCGGUAGUCCUGGCCGUAAACGAUGGGUACUAGGUGUAGGAGGUAUCGACCCCUUCUGUGCCGGAGUUAACGCAAUAAGUACCCCGCCUGGGGAGUACGACCGCAAGGUUGAAACUCAAAGGAAUUGACGGGGGCCCGCACAAGCGGUGGAGUAUGUGGUUUAAUUCGACGCAACGCGAAGAACCUUACCAGGUCUUGACAU
rnacentral:rRNA from 1 species